rnacentral:lncRNA from 1 species
CCCAACCCAAAUCCAAAAUCAAUUCCUCUUCCUGUGAAACGCCGUUGUAGCUUCUCUGACUCUUCAUUCCGCUGCCAUCAGAGACACCGUGGUGGCCCUCCUCGCAUGCGUGAAUGUCGUGGAUUUUGACAGAGAAAGGUUGCUCCUGCUUGGAAUCCGCUCCUCCACUACGCUUUCUCCAACUUCGUUGACCACCGCCCCUUCUCCCACGUCCUCACGACGACGACAGAUCUGACAAUGAAAAUGGCUUGAGUCUUAGGUUGAUGCGACGCUAGAUCUAACUCUCACGGGUGUGUGCUAACUUCGCAAUCUCGAGAUACGAGGGGUUUGGUGCACUGCAGAUUGAGGUUUACGGGUUUUUUGCUGUGUGGUAUGUUUUGGUGGUGUGGUGCACUGGAUCCUGAGGGGCGGAUUAAUGGUGGCUAUAGGUGGGUUUGGGUGGUGUGGUCGUGUUCGAUGGGGGGUUGCCGAUGUUAAUAUGAAGAAGGAGAAGGAGAAGGAGAACAGACGGAGAUAGGAAAAACGGCGUUAGUUUUUAUUUGUUAAC